AAAAAAAAAAAAAAUUCUCCUCGAAAACUUAAAGUGUCAAAAAAUAGAGCCCGGUUACUAUCCUAUUAAUAGGAUAGAAGCACUUGUCCUAUCAAGUCGUUUUGAAUGAUCGAAACUUCAAAUUGAUAAUCGGCACCGUUGAUAUUGAUCUACACAAUUAGAAAUAUUUAGAAACCAAAUUUUAUAAUAUUUAAAAAUCAUUAUCAAGUUUAUCUUAAGAGUUAAAAAAUGAACGGUCAUAAAUGAAUAAUCUUCUUAAAAUAGAGGUUAGACUUUUUCAAUUCAUAAUCAGAGUUAUCAAACAUUAUCUAAAUAGUAUAAAGAAUUUUCUAUAAAAAAUUUAAGCAAUUUGGAUUGCUCUACACCGUUAAACAAGCAAACGGCUCAUAUAGGCCGUCAAAAAUUGUCGGUUUUACGACAUUUUGAUCACCAUGUAAAUAAUUUUUAAAAUUUAUAAAAUUUAGUUUCUAGAUAUUUCAAAUACUCUAGAUCAACUUCAACGGCUCCGAUCAUCGAUUCGAAAUCUCUAUCAUCAAAAACCAUUUGAUAGGACAAGUACUACUAUCCUAUUAAUAGGACAGUAGCCCUAGCCCCAAAAAAUAUAUAUAUUUUUUAAUAUUUAUAUUUAAUAAUUAAACAUGGUGAUUUUUUAUUUUUAUUAUCUUUUUUUAGUAUUGUAGACCAAUCUCAAUAGUGUAAAAUUUUAGGGUACACUUCAAAUACCACCCCAGUGGUUUCGCACUUUUUCACUUUAGUACCGUGUGGUUUAAAGUGUAUCAAGUUAGUGUCACGCGAUUUUAUUUUUAUCUUUUUAUCAGCCUUUCCAUUAAUAUUUCGCUAAAUUAUGUACAAAAAGCUUCAGAUACCUCACCUAACUUUAUCGAAUAUUCACUUUAGUAUCCUUUAGUUUUAACUUUGUCACUGAUUUAAUGAAAAAAUUAGUGGAAUCGAUAAUAAAAAGAUAAAAAUAAAACCACAGGAUACUAAAUUGAUACACUUUAAAUCAUAGGGUAUUAAAGUGAAAAAGUGUGAAACUAUAGGGGUGGUAUUUGAAAUUUUCUCAAAAUUUUAUAGGAAAACUUCAAAUACCCCCCUUGUGGUUUCACUUUUUCUCAUUUUAGUACCAUGUGGUUUAAAGUGUAUCAAGUUAGUACCCUGUGGUUUCGCACUUUCUCACUUUAGUACCCUGUGGUUUCGUACUUUCUCACUUUAGUACCUUGUGGUUUUUAAACCACAGGAUACUAACUUGAUACAAAAAUAAAACCAUAGGGUACUAACUUGAUACAAAAAUAAAACCACAGAGUAUUAACUUGAUACACUUUAAACCACAGGGUACUAAAAUAAGAAAGUGUGAAACCACAGGGUACUAACUUGAUACACUUUAAAGUAUAGAGUAAAAUGAAAAAAUACGAAACCACGAGAUUUUUUAAGUUUUCCCAAAUUUUAUUUA
rnacentral:lncRNA from 1 species